AUAAAAAAAUGAACUCCGUUGAGAGACAUAUAACUAAGGAGUGUAAAGCUAAGUCGUGUUUGAUGACCGUAAAAGUGACGGUUUCGACUUCUGUUUUGAGGUAAGGAUAUCUUAACUCUCUCCGUAAUUGUUUAAUCAAACUUUGGCCUUUAGAUCACCUAGGAUCGAUUGCGAUUUUGAAUUUAACUUUGUGUAAGAUGCCGAUAGUGAUGAUUUAAUUGAUUUUGUGUAGU
rnacentral:lncRNA from 1 species